GCGGAGGUGGCGAAACGGCAGACGCACCAGACUUAGGAUCUGGCGCCUUCGGGCGUAGGGGUUCAAGUCCCCUCCUCCGCA
rnacentral:tRNA from 1 species